rnacentral:misc_RNA from 1 species
GAUGAAGAACGUAGCGAAAUGCGAUAAGUAAUGUGAAUUGCAGAAUUCAGUGAAUCAUCGAAUCUUUGAACGCACCUUGCACCCUUUGGCAUUCCGAAGGGUAUGCUCGUUUGAGUGUCAUUGUACUCUCACUCUCCCGAUGCUUUUGGAUCGGGAGUGGUGGACUUGGGUGUUGCUGCUUUGCUGUGGCUCGCCUCAAAUGGAGUAGUGCAACUCUUGGUUGGACAUAGUACGGCGUGAUAAGUGUCUUCGCCGGCGCCUCAUUAUAGAGGGUGGCCGAUCGGGAGCUCUGUGCUUCAAACCGUCUUCGGACAACAUCUGACAACUUGACCUCAAAUCGAGUAGGACUACCCACUGAACUUAAGCAUAUCAAUAAGCGGAGGA